UACGGAGGAUGCGAGCGUUAUCCGGAUUUAUUGGGUUUAAAGGGUGCGUAGGCGGACUGUCAAGUCAGCGGUAAAAUUGAGAGGCUCAACCUCUUCCCGCCGUUGAAACUGGUGGUCUUGAGUGGAUGAGAAGUACGCGGAAUGCGUGGUGUAGCGGUGAAAUGCAUAGAUAUCACGCAGAACUCCGAUUGCGAAGGCAGCCUGCUGGACUGUAACUGACGCUGAUGCUCGAAAGUGUGGGUAUCAAACAGG
rnacentral:rRNA from 1 species